rnacentral:rRNA from 1 species
GAUGAACGCUGGCGGCGUGCCUAACACAUGCAAGUCGAACGGAAAGACGAUAGUGGUUUGACUUUCUGGCGUUAGCGACGGGCGGGUGAGAAGCACGUAGCGAACCCUCCUAUUUGGCUGGGAUAAAUGCAGGAAACCGGAGCUCAUAACGGAAAAUAUUCAGCUUCGCAUGGCGCAGGAGUGUAAGACCGUUCUGGUGUGAAUUAGAGAUUGACCCGCGGUGUAUUAGGUAGUUGGCGGGGUAACGGCUCAGCAAGGCCACGAUACGUAGGCGAGCUGAGAGGGUGAUCGGCCACACUGGAACUGAGACACGGCCCAGACUCCUACGGGAGGCAGCAGUAGGGAAUGUUCGGCAAUGGGCGAAAGUCUGACGCAGCGAUGCCGCGUGAGUGAAGAAGGCGUUCGGUUCGUAAAGCCCUGUUGUAGGGGAAGAACAGCUACGGUUGUAGACGAAGCUACCUUGACGGUACCCAACGAAAAAGCACCGGCUAACUACGUG